UUCAGAGAUUAUGUGGGUCAAAAGCAAAGAUUCAAGUGCUCAUCCGCACGGUCCGUAUUCACCGUGUCAUAUCGUGCCAGCAAGAUAUCGGCACGAUACAGCCUCCGUACCGAUCCCACAACUCAAAAUAAAACUCUCUAUUUUUGAAAUUUGUAAGUAAAUUUCUCAAUAAAAUUAAAAAGAUUUGAUAAAAAUAUAUAAUAAAUAAUUAACAUAUUUUAUUGUGAAAGAAAAUAAAUAUUUCGUGUCAUUACGUGUCGGCACACAUAUAUUUUUUAUGAUUGACACGCAUUGUUAUGGUCCGACACGCACUGUGCCGUAUCGUACCAACAAGUUUCCAACACAAUCUUGUGCCACGGCACUUAAAUUUUUAGUCAAAAGGUUUAUACAUCUGCUCUCAAGAAUAAA
rnacentral:lncRNA from 1 species